rnacentral:lncRNA from 1 species
GGCCAUGACCCCAGACUGUAUUUCUGCAUCCACAAAGGCUCAUCAAGAUGUUCUGCUAAUCAAAGACUUGCUUCUCCUCUAAAAGGAGUUUUCUUGUUUUUAAAAAACAGCUUUUCCCCCCUUAUUACAUCAGAAUUAUAGGAGGGUAAGACUGGCACAGUGUGGCCUAAUGCUACCCGGCAGCCCCUUCUGCCACGCAUGAAAAAACCUUACCUGAAAAUGAAACCAACACAAGGAAAGUAAAGGAAUCAGAUCUGGAUUGGAGAUGUCUCCAGGAUUUCCUGGUUCUCGUACAUGGGAAACAGUAUUUGGCGAACGCCAUCCAGGCACAUCAUAAUAUUAUGGCUUCAGUUGAUUAACCUGUUGUUUGGCUAAAGCACUUUGCCUUUGUUCUUAAGGAAGCAAACUGCUGUUUCACUUCCCUGAAGCCCCUGAUAAUACCAUACAAGAACAUCAGAGAAAAAAUGAAUCCAAGAUAGGUGCCAUCCCCAGGGGAACAGAACACUUCUUUGUUUUAUAUUUCCAUUGGAAAUCUGGAGAUUUUGCAUGCAAACGUCUUAUUUCAUGGCA